AUCAGAUCCGGAGGGUGGGGACUCCUGCUGCAGGGAGACAGUCUGUAUAUGGCAGGAACUUGGACUUCUGAGUACAACUGGGUGACCUUCGGUUUCAUCUCACGAAGUCGUGUAGCCACUCCUGUAAUGUGAGAACAGCAAUAGUGCAGAGCUGCUGCCCGCGUUGGGAGAUUUCAAUGUGACAGCUAACAUGGAGAACUGGGCUCAGCCCAGCGUAAGCACCCUUGGAAGGAGCAUGGUUGCUCGCUCUUCCAACUGACCUUCCUGAACCUCUGGUGGGGCCUUCGUUACACCCCUGGAUCCUGCUUCAAGCCCUGUUGGCCCAACACCUACCUACAGGAGACACCCAUAAUCUAGGGAAGUGGCUUUCGACAUCUAUACCCUUGCCAGGGCAUCAUGCUUGGGAGAAUGUACUCCUCCAAUCCCCCAUCCUGGGCUUCACUGAAGGGAAGUUAGCAGAUGCUGCUUAAGGAGCAGAGGCUUGAAGUGUGUGAACCUGUCUCCUGAUCGAGCUUCUGCCAUUGCAGGAGGAAGAAAAUGCCCCAGGCUGCCGCUGACCUUCCAGGCUGAGCUCAGAAUGAAACACGUGGGUGGGGCUGCACUAGCAACCACCAACUCAUGAGCAAUAAAUGGUUAUUGUUGUAUGCCA